UACGUAGGGUGCAAGCGUUGUCCGGAAUUAUUGGGCGUAAAGAGCUCGUAGGUGGUUCGGUAAGUCGGAUGUGAAAUCUCCAGGCUCAACCUGGAGGGGUCAUUCGAUACUGCCGUGACUAGAGGUCGGUAGGGGAGUGUGGAAUUCCUGGUGGAGCGGUGAAAUGCGCAGAUAUCAGGAGGAACACCGGUGGCGAAGGCGGGUCUCUGGGCAGUAACUGACGCUGAGGAGCGAAAGCGUGGGGAGCGAACAGG
rnacentral:rRNA from 1 species